UACGGGGGGGGGAAGCGUUGUUCGGAAUUACUGGGCGUAAAGGGCUCGUAGGCGGCCAACUAAGUCAUACGUGAAAUCCCUCAGCUUAACUGGGGAACUGCGUGUGAUACUGGAUGGCUUGGAUUUGGGAGAGGGAUGCGGAAUUCCAGGUGUAGCGGUGAAAUGCGUAGAUAUCUGGAGGAAUACCAGCGGCGAAGGCGGCCUUCUGGACGGUGACUGACGCUGAGACGCGAAAGCGUGGGGAGCAAACAGG
rnacentral:rRNA from 1 species